UACAGAGGUCCCAAGCGUUGUUCGGAUUCACUGGGCGUAAAGGGUGCGUAGGUGGUUAGGUAAGUCCGAUGUGAAAUCUCCAGGCUCAACCUGGAAAUGGCAUUGGAUACUAUCUAGCUUGAGGAGUGGAGGGGGGACUGGAAUUCUCGGUGUAGCAGUGAAAUGCGUAGAUAUCGAGAGGAACACCAGUGGCGAAGGCGAGUCCCUGGACACUUCCUGACACUGAGGCACGAAAGCGUGGGGAGCGAACAGG
rnacentral:rRNA from 1 species